GUCUUACCCUGUCAGGUUCUGGCUAGGAAACCUCCAUCUGGACUGAGCUACCAUUUCUUACCAAUUGAUUUAUCUAAUCCCUUUGGCUUGCGAAGGACCUGGCUCAUUCCCCACGUGCUGGUCCCCAGUCGUCAUGUUACCAAGGCACUCAGCCUUCAGGACUGCAAAACCCUAACGGGCAGUGUCUUCCCAAGGGACAGCCUAAAGAUCCAGAAGCCAAAGAACGAAACUGAAAACCUAUCAGAGAAAUAUACGUGCUGUAGGGCACAGCUCAGCCUAUUACAUGGUCCUGAGCAGAGCUGGACUCCCUGUUCUCAGAGACAGGGGCCCCUUCCCACACUGGGGAAAGGGGCAAACAGUGGUGGGGUGCCUUGAGGGGUUUGCUGUGUGUGAUUUGGUGUUUAGGUAUUCAACCCAAACAGCUGUUUUUGCACUUUAGAAUUUUUUAAGUUUUUUUAAUUGAAGUAGAGCUGAUUGACAAUAUCGUGCUUGUUUCAGGUGUACAGCGCAGUGAUUCAGUAAUUUUUGAAGAUUAUAUUUCAUUAUAGGUUAUUACAAGAUACUGAAUAUAAUUCCUUGUGCUAGAUAGUAAAUCCUUCUUAUCUUUUUUUUUCUUUUUUCUUUUUAGGGCAGCACCUGUGGCGUAUGGAGCUUCUCAGGCUACAGGUCCAGUUGGAGCUGCAGCUGCCGUCCUAUGCCACAGCCACAGCAGUGCUGGAUCCAGGUCACACCUCACGGCAACACUGGAUCCUUAACCCACUCGUCAUCCUUGCCCAGCCGCAGCCCCAGCCAGAAGACUGCAGGGAGCUCCAGCCUCGAGUUCCGGACCCCUGGGGGCAGCUCCUGCUUUCAGAAGUUGUGGCGGAAGGGACUCUGUACUGCUCUUCAGCGAUGCCCUGGACAUGAGCUCUCCUGGGCACAG
rnacentral:lncRNA from 1 species